GCUUAGUCCUCUAACUAGCUUUCUUUCACUUUUUUACUUUGUCCAGUGUCUAUCAUUUGAGCUUCUAUCUUUUUCUAAUUUUUGGUAUACCACUGCGGUAUCACAGUGGUUAAUCUCUUUUUACCCAUAGUUGAAGAAUAGGUUUAUUUCUUUUCAGUUCUUUCCAUUUUUUAAGCGUAGACUACCACAAAGGGAAUUGUUCAAGCAUUUGGACUACUUCUCUUGUUAAAUAAAUAAAAUAGAAGAUCGAAAUUCGACUCAAGGUGGUGGAAUUGGUGACAGAUUCUGCUCUUGAUAUAGGUGGUUUAAUGAAUUGAGAUGGAAUCAGAUUUCGAAUGCAAAUGGGUUUCACAAUUUGGGACAAAGUUGUGUGCUACUGCAAUAUCUGUGCCGAUCAAAGAAAACGCUCAGCUUGAUUCUUACCGGAUGGAGCACUCUUGGAGCUUUCAAACUUCUGAAUUGGAAUAUUGAGGUGUGCAAUGAUGGAAAUGCGUGCCUGGUCUAUAUGAACUAAAAAUCCCAGGUUGUGCUUGAUACUUCGCUUUAAAGAUUGGUGGCUCAACUGAGUUGUUUUUAAGAAAACAAAUCUGAAAUGCUUGUGUGAAGAAAAUUUAAUCAGAUGAAGUUUAGGGUGACAUAAGAGACACAGUGUGACGUUUUUCAUUAAUUAAAUGAUUUUGUUUGCAAACACUUGUUCCUUUUAUGGAAAGUGAAUGCUAUAGCUUCACACAUUUUUGUCUCUGCUCAAAUAGAACGAUCUUUUGUAUUUCUACGGCACAAGAUGGUGUGAUACAUUUAUUUCCUAUUAUUAUUAUUAUUAUCAUUAUCAAUUUGUAUAUG